GGAAUUUUGGACAAUGGGCGAAAGCCUGAUCCAGCCAUGCCGCGUGUGUGAAGAAGGUCUUCGGAUUGUAAAGCACUUUAAGUUGGGAGGACGGGCAGUCAGCGAAUACCUUGUUGUUUUGCAGUGACCGACAGCAUAAGACCCGGCGACCUCUGUCCCAGCACCCGCGGUAAGACAGAGGGUGCAAGCGUUAAUCGGAAUUACUGGGCGUAAAGCGCGCGUAGGUGGUUCGUUAAGUUGGAUGUGAAAUCCCCGGGCUCAACCUGGGAACUGCAUCCAAAACUGGCGAGCUAGAGUAGGGCAGAGGGUGGUGGAAUUUCCUGUGUAGCGGUGAAAUGCGUAGAUAUAGGAAGGAACACCAGUGGCGAAGGCGACCACCUGGGCUCAUACUGACACUGAGGUGCGAAAGCGUGGGGAGCAAACAG
rnacentral:rRNA from 1 species